UCGUAGGUUAAGGGCCUAACAAGCGCGAUUCGUAGCUGUCUAGGAGAUACGCAAUUCGACUGAGACUGCGGACUCUACGAAGCAGCAGUGGGAUAUGACAUGGGGCACCUGAUCCAGCAUGCGCGUGUGUGAGAGCUUUCCGGGUGUAAAGCACUUUCAGCGAGAGUGCUCUGAAGUUAAUACUUCAGGGAUUGACGUUACUCGCAGAAGAAGCCACCGGGCUAACUCCGUGCCAGCAGCGCGGUAAUACGGAGGGGUGCAAGCGUUAAUCGGAAUUACUGGGCGUAAAGCGCGCGUAGGUGGUUAGGUAAGCGAGAUGUGAAAGCCCCGGGCUUAACCUGGGAACGGCAUUUCGAACUGUCUGACUAGAGUGUGGUAGAGGGUAGUGGAAUUUCCUGUGUAGCGGUGAAAUGCGUAGAUAUAGGAAGGAACACCAGUGGCGAAGGCGGCUACCUGGACCAACACUGACACUGAGGUGCGAAAGCGUGGGGAGCAAACAGGAUUAGAUACCCUGGUAGUCCACGCCGUAAACGAUGUCAACUAGCCGUUGGGACUCUUGAAGUCUUAGUGGCGCAGCUAACGCACUAAGUUGACCGCCUGGGGAGUACGGCCGCAGGGUUAAAACUCAAAUGAAUUGACGGGGGCCCGCACAAGCGGUGGAGCAUGUGGUUUAAUUCGACGCAACGCGAAGAACCUUACCUGGCCUUGACAUCCAGAGAACUUUCCAGAGAUGGAUUGGUGCCUUCGGGAACUCUGAGACAGGUGCUGCAUGGCCGUCGUCAGCUCGUGUCGUGAGAUGUUGGGUUAAGUCCCGUAACGAGCGCAACCCCUAUCCCUGGUUGCUAGCAGGUAAUGCUGAGAACUCCAGGGAGACUGCCGGUGACAAACCGGAGGAAGGUGGGGAUGACGUCAGGUCAUCAUGGCCCUUACGGCCAGGGCUACACACGUGCUACAAUGGCGCGUACAGAGGGCUGCCAACUCGCGAGAGUGCGCCAAUCCCUUAAAACGCGUCGUAGUCCGGAUCGGAGUCUGCAACUCGACUCCGUGAAGUCGGAAUCGCUAGUAAUCGCGAAUCAGAAUGUCGCGGUGAAUACGUUCCCGGGCCUUGUACACACCGCCCGUCACACCAUGGGAGUGGAUUGCACCAGAAGUAGUUAGUCUAACCUUCGGGAGGACGAUUACCACGGUGUGGUUCAUGACUGGGGUGAAGUCGUAACAAGGUAACCAAUCAGCUCC
rnacentral:rRNA from 1 species